CGGGCCGGGGAGGGCGGGGGAGGCAGAGACGCGCGAGGCCCGGCGGGCCUGCCAAGGUCACCACGGAGCCCAGCAGAGGCUUCUUUGUCACCGAGACCCUCCGCUCGAGCCCCCUCCUUGAGGGAACAGCCCCUGCAGAAAACUGGGGGUGGUACUUCCCCAAGCUUGCCUGCAAGGAUGUGGGAGGCAUGAUGGCGGGACCCCAGUGUCGGGCCGGCAGCCCCUGGUGCACCAAGCCCGCCGCCCGUCCGGGCCUGGCUAAGGUGUCACCGCAGCCCCGCGGGUGGCCGGCCAGCCUAACAACGGUACGACAUCAAAACCCCAAAGCCGCUCUGGAUCGCAUCGGCGUCCUGGGAGGAGGCUACUGGCCUGGGAGGAGGCUACUGGCCCGCUGCGCCGCCCCCGGGGUUCCUUUACCUUGACAAGCCGGCCGGCCCAGGCCGGAAGAACGCAGAGAUAUCCCUGGUCCAGGCUGUCUGUCUCGGAGGACAAGACCCUCAGCUCCGCGGGGCUUUGCGCGCACAACGCACCCCCCCCCCCCACUUCCAACCAAAGGCCUCUGGGAGAUGUAGUCCGUUCCAGGCCCUUGAGACGCGCUCUGCGGGCCAGUGGGGACCACGGUGCCCGGCGUGCACCGCGCGGGUGCCGCGGGAGGGGGCGGAGAGGGGGCUUCGGGGCCGGGGGGGCGGCUGGAGGUCGUCCCUCUCCCUGCGAGGGCCGCGAGCGCCCAGCCCUGCUCCCGAGGGACUCCACGGGAAGCCGUCUAGAAUGGUCGGGGCGACUCACCGUCGCCGCGGCACCGGCGGCAGCCGCAAUACCAAGAACGACCACCUCCGCAGCUCGCAGUCGGGCGUCUGUCAGAAGGAGGCGGGCGUGUGGGAUGUUAGUUCCCUGACCAGGGAUCCAACUGGUGCCCCUGCAUUGGAAGCGUGGGCAUUGGAAGCGUGGGGUCCCAACCACUGGACCACCAGGGAAGUUCUGCUGCUGCUGCUAAGUCGAUUCAGUCAUGUCGGACUCUGUGCGACCCCAUAGAAGGCAGCCCACCAGGCUCUGCUGUCCCUGGGAUUCUCCAGGCAAGAACACUGGAGUGGGUUGCCAUUUCCUUCUUCAAUGCAUGAAAGUGAAAAGUGAAAAGUGAAAGUCAAGUCAUUCAGUCAUACCCGACUCUUAGCGACCCCAUGGACUGCAGCCUACCAGGCUUCUCCCUCCAUGGGACCCUCCAGGCAAGAGUACUGGAGUGGGUUGCCAUUGACUUCUCCAGGGAAGUUCUAGAGGGCAUAUUUAAUGCCAUAUUCACAUUUUUAUGCUUUUGAUUGGUUCUGCUGUUUAAAAUGGCCCCCGAGCACUGGUGCAUUCAGUUUUUCUGAGUACCAGAAGAUCUUAC
rnacentral:lncRNA from 1 species